rnacentral:rRNA from 1 species
AGUGAACGCUGGCGGUAGGCCUAACACAUGCAAGUCGAACGGCAGCACAGAGGAGCUUGCUCCUUGGGUGGCGAGUGGCGGACGGGUGAGGAAUACAUCGGAAUCUACUCUGUCGUGGGGGAUAACGUAGGGAAACUUACGCUACUACCGCAUACGACCUACGGGUGAAAGCAGGGGAUCUUCGGACCUUGCGCGAUUGAAUGAGCCGCUGUCGGAUUAGGUAGUUGGCGGGGUAAAGGCCCACCAAGGCGACGAUCCGUAGCUGGUCUGAGAGGAUGAUCAGCCACACUGGAACUGAGACACGGUCCAGACUCCUACGGGAGGCAGCAGUGGGGAAUAUUGGACAAUGGGCGCAAGCCUGAUCCAGCCAUACCGCGUGGGUGAAGAAGGCCUUCGGGUUGUAAAGCCCUUUUGUUGGGAAAGAAAUCCAUCUGGUUAAUACCCGGGUGGGAUGACGGUACCCAAAGAAUAAGCACCGGCUAACUUCGUGCCAGCAGCCGCCGUAA